rnacentral:rRNA from 1 species
GGGUCAGUAGGUUGGUCGUGCCACCGGUACGUACUGGUCUCACUGAUUCCUCCUUCCUGAAGAGCCGUAAUGCCAUUAAUUUGGUGUUGCGGGGAAACAGGACCGUUACUUUGAAAAAAUUAGAGUGUUUAAAGCAAGCUAACGCUUGAAUACAUUAGCAUGGAAUAAUGAAAUAGGACGAUCGAUCCUAUUUUGUUGGUUUCUAGGAUUGACGUA